rnacentral:rRNA from 1 species
UUCGGAGGGAGCGAGCGUUAAUCGGAAUUACUGGGCGUAAAGCGUCCGUAGGCGGCUUGUUAAGUCUGAUGUGAAAGCCCUGGGCUUAACCUGGGAACGGCAUUGGAUACUGGCGAGCUAGAGUUCGGUAGAGGGUGGUGGAAUUCCCGGUGUAGCGGUGAAAUGCGUAGAGAUCGGGAAGAACACCGGUAGCGAAGGCGGCCACCUGCACCGUGACUGACGCUGAGGGAAGAAAGCGUGGGGAGCAAACAGG